rnacentral:rRNA from 1 species
UGUCGGGAACGGAUAACCGCUGAAAGCAUCUAAGCGGGAAGCCUACUCCAAGAUAAGGAUUCCAUGAACUAUGUUCGAGAGAGCCCAGUUAGAAUAACUGGUUGAUAGGCCGGGUGUGUAAGUGGCGAAAUCCAUUCAGCUUACCGGUACUAACGCUCGAUUACUUGACCAUAU